rnacentral:rRNA from 1 species
UGGGGAAUAUUGCACAAUGGGCGCAAGCCUGAUGCAGCCAUGCCGCGUGUAUGAAGAAGGCCUUCGGGUUGUAAAGUACUUUCAGCGAGGAGGAAGGCGUUGUGGUUAAUAACCGCAACGAUUGACGUUACUCGCAGAAGAAGCACCGGCUAACUCCGUGCCAGCAGCCGCGGUAAUACGGAGGGUGCAAGCGUUAAUCGGAAUUACUGGGCGUAAAGCGCACGCAGGCGGUCUGUCAAGUCGGAUGUGAAAUCCCCGGGCUCAACCUGGGAACUGCAUCCGAAACUGGCAGGCUAGAGUCUUGUAGAGGGGGGUAGAAUUCCAGGUGUAGCGGUGAAAUGCGUAGAGAUCUGGAGGAAUACCCGUGGCGAAGGCGGCCCCCUGGACAAAGACUGACGCUCAGGUGCGAAAGCGUGGGGAGCAAACA